rnacentral:rRNA from 1 species
UAUAADAGUURAUUUAAAUDUUAAAUAAUUAAUAGAUAUGAUCUUUAAAAUUAAAGAAUUUGGCGGUAUUUUAGUCUUUUCAGAGGAACCUGUUCUGUAAUUGAUAAUCCACGAUUUAUUUUACUUAUAAUAAUUAGUUUGUAUAUCGUCGUAAAAGAAUAUUUUUUUAGGAUUUAAUAUUCAUAAAUUAUUUUAUAAAAAAAAUCAGAUCAAGGUGCAGUUUAUUUAUAAGUAGAAAUGGGUUACAUUAAAUUAUAUUUUUAGAUUAUAAAAUUAAUAGUUUAUAUAAAAUUGGAUUUGAAAGUAAUUUUGAUAAAAUAAUUAAAAUGAUUUUAGCUCUAAAAUAUGC